GUAUACAAAUAGUGACGUAUCUGAAGUGUUGUUUUUGAAAUUAUUUAAGAUUAAGAAGUUACUAAAUCUUUAUUACCAUUUCUUUGGUGCUUGUUUGAGUUCAUCCAAACCACAAAAUCAAUCCUUUUCAUUUUAAUACUCACAGAACAACCACAUCUUGAAACUCCAUUCUUUCGGCGCUUGCCAACUCGAGAAGGAAGUAUUAGAUCAACAUUCCAUUGAUUCGAACAUAAUAAUCGUCUUAUAAUUAAAAUCUUUUUGCCUUCUACAUUGCUUGUUGUGUCUUCGGUAGAAACCAAUGUAACACACUUACUAGAACAUGGAGGGAAAGAAGAAGAGAAUCUCCUUGUGGAGCCGGAGGUUGGAAAAAGAAUCUUCUUGUGGAGCCGGCGGUUGGAAAAAGAAUCUCCUUCUGGAGCCGGAGGUUGGAAAAGAAUCUCCCUAGGGAGCCGGUGGGGGAAAACUAGAAUUGGUUG
rnacentral:lncRNA from 1 species